rnacentral:rRNA from 1 species
UACGUAGGUCCCGAGCGUUGUCCGGAUUUAUUGGGCGUAAAGCGAGCGCAGGUGGUUUAUUAAGUCUGGUGUAAAAGGCAGUGGCUCAACCAUUGUAUGCAUUGGAAACUGGUAGACUUGAGUGCAGGAGAGGAGAGCGGAAUUCCAUGUGUAGCGGUGAAAUGCGUAGAUAUAUGGAGGAACACCGGUGGCGAAAGCGGCUCUCUGGCCUGUAACUGACACUGUGGCUCGAAAGCGUGGGGAGCAAACAGG